rnacentral:rRNA from 1 species
AUACGGAGGGUGCAAGCGUUAAUCGGAAUUACUGGGCGUAAAGCGUACGUAGGCGGUUCGUUAAGUUAGAUGUGAAAGCCCCGGGCUUAACCUGGGAACUGCAUUUAAAACUGGCGAACUAGAGUUGAGUAGAGGGGAGCGGAAUUUCAGGUGUAGCGGUGAAAUGCGUAGAGAUCUGAAGGAACACCAGUGGCGAAGGCGACUCCCUGGACUCGAACUGACGCUGAGGUACGAAAGCGUGGGUAGCAAACGGGAUUAGAUACCCUAGUAGUCC